rnacentral:pre_miRNA from 1 species
AGUGCAAUUGCUGGAUUAUAUGGUAAGAGCAGGUUCGUUUUGCGUGAAACUACCAAAUUGUCUUCGAAAGUGGCUGUACCAUUUUGCGUUCCCACCAGCAAU